ACACGGCCCAGACUCCUACGGGAGGCAGCAGUAGGGAAUCUUGCGCAAUGCGCGAAAGCGUGACGCAGCAACGCCGCGUGGGGGAAGAAGGCCUUCGGGUUGUAAACCCCUUUCAGUUGGGACGAAGCGAGAGUGACGGUACCUGCAGAAGAAGCGCCGGUUAACUACGUGCCAGCAGCCGCGGUAACACGUAGGGCGCAAGCGUUGUCCGGAAUUAUUGGGCGUAAAGAGCUCGUAGGCGGUCUGUUGCGUCCGCUGUGAAAUCUCGGGGCUUAACCCCGAGCCUGCAGUGGAUACGGGCAGACUAGAGGUAGGUAGGGGAGAAUGGAAUUCCUGGUGUAGCGGUGAAAUGCGCAGAUAUCAGGAGGAACACCAAUGGCGAAGGCAGCUCGCUGGGACGUGACUGACGCUGAGACGCGAAAGCGUGGGGAGCAAACAGGAUUAGAUACCCUGGUAGUCCACGCCGUAAACGUUGGGCGCUAGGUGUGGGUCCCUUCCACGGGGUCUGUGCCGCAGCUAACGCAUUAAGCGCCCCGCCUGGGGAGUACGGCCGCAAGGCUAAA
rnacentral:rRNA from 1 species